GUGCUCGAGUGGCGAACGGGUGAGUAACACGUGAGUAACCUGCCCUUGACUUUGGGGUAACUUCAGGAAACUGGGGCUAAUACCGGAUAGGAGCUCCUGCCGCAUGGUGGGGGUUGGAAAGUUUCGGCGGUUGGGGAUGGACUCGCGGCUUAUCAGCUUGUUGGUGGGGUAGUGGCUUACCAAGGCUUUGACGGGUAGCCGGCCUGAGAGGGUGACCGGCCACAUUGGGACUGAGAUACGGCCCAG
rnacentral:rRNA from 1 species